GCCGGAAUAGCUCAGUCGGUAGAGCAGGGGAUUGAAAAUCCCCGUGUCACCAGUUCAAAUCUGGUUUCUGGCA
rnacentral:tRNA from 1 species